rnacentral:SRP_RNA from 1 species
GCCGGGCGUGGUGGCGGGCGCCUGUAGUCCCAGCUACUCGGAGGCUGAGGCGGGAGAAUGGCGUGAACCCAGGAGGUGGAGCUUGCAGUGAGCCGAGAUCGCGCCACUGCACUCCAGCCUGGGCGACAGAGCAAGACUCCGUCUCNN